CUGAAACCAUUGCAAGAACAUGGAAAAGUUAGUGAGGCUAGGUGUGCAGGUUAUGGUUACUAGUUUGGUAGGUUAUGCUUAGAAAAGAAAAUCCACACAGAGGUUGGUAAGGUACACUGGAUGUGUGAGGGGAUUGGAAUACCCUGUACAGCACCAAAAUCUGCUAAAUGGCUUGGAUGUUUACAUAUAUACCCCAACUUUAGCUCUCAUUUAAUUGGUCCUGGCUUCAAAACAAUUAUAAUAAUUGUUGUUAUAUGUUGGACAGCUGUGGAAAAUUGAAAUCAUUAAAUGCCUACCGUCCGACCAUGCCAGCUGUCAA
rnacentral:lncRNA from 1 species